rnacentral:ncRNA from 1 species
UUAAACGAGAGUUUGAUCCUGGCUCAGGACGAACGCUGGCGGCGUGCCUAACACAUGCAAGUCGAGCGGAACUGAUAAAGUUUACUUUAACAGUUUAGCGGCGGACGGGUGAGUAACGCGUGAGUA